AUUGAACGCUGGCGGCAGGCCUAACACAUGCAAGUCGAACGGUAACACGAAAAAGCUUGCUUCUUUACUUACGAGUGGCGGAGGGGUGAGAAAUGUCUGGGAAACACCUUGAUGGCUGGGGAUAACUACUGGAAACGGUCGCUACUACCGCUUAACGUCGCAAGAUCAAAGAGGGGGACCUUCGGGCCUCUUUCCAUCGGAUGUGCACAGAUGGGAUUAGCUAGUAGGUGGGGUGACGGCUCACCUAGGCCACGAUCCCUAGCUGGUCUGAGAGGAUGAUCAGCCACACUGGAACUGAGACACGGUCCAGACUCCUACGGGAGGCAGCAGUAGGGAAUAUUACACAAUGGGCGCAAGCCUGAUGCAGCCAUGCCGCGUGAAUGAAGAAGGCCUUCGGGUUGUAAAGUACUUUCAGCGGGGAGGAAGAGAGUUGAGUUAAUAACUUUACUCAUUGACGUUACCCGCAGAAGAAGCACCGGCUAACUCCGUG
rnacentral:rRNA from 1 species